rnacentral:rRNA from 1 species
ACCAGGACGUUGAUAGGUCAGGUGUGUAAGCGCAGUAAUGCGUUCAGCUAACUGAUACUAAUUGCCCGUAAGGCUUGAUCCUAUAACA